rnacentral:rRNA from 1 species
GUUGACCUCGGAUCAGGUAGGAAUACCCGCUGAACUUAAGCAUAUCAAUAGGCGG